GCCGCACUGGUUUGAUCGGGAUACUCAUCAGUUAAAUUAAGAAACCGAGACCAGCUCUGUCCACCAAUGGCGUGCCAUCCCAUUAUGGUUAGAUGGAUUACAGAGGUGAAACAGGCCCUCAAAUCCUAUCAUAAGGAGUUUCAUCACAUCAUCAGUGCGGCCCC
rnacentral:sRNA from 1 species